rnacentral:rRNA from 1 species
UGGGGAAUAUUGGACAAUGGGGGCAACCCUGAUCCAGCCAUGCCGCGUGUGUGAAGAAGGCCUUUUGGUUGUAAAGCACUUUAAGCGAGGAGGAGGCUACCUGUAUUAAUACUAUAGGCUAGUGGACGUUACUCGCAGAAUAAGCACCGGCUAACUCUGUGCCAGCAGCCGCGGUAAUACAGAGGGUGCGAGCGUUAAUCGGAAUUACUGGGCGUAAAGCGCGCGUAGGCGGUUUGUUAAGUCGGAUGUGAAAUCCCCGGGCUCAACCUGGGAAUUGCAUUCGAUACUGGCAAGCUAGAGUAUGGGAGAGGAAGGUAGAAUUCCAGGUGUAGCGGUGAAAUGCGUAGAGAUCUGGAGGAAUACCGAUGGCGAAGGCAGCCAUCUGGCCUAAUACUGACGCUGAGGUACGAAAGCAUGGGGAGCAAACAGGAUUAGAUACCCCCGUAGUCCCUGAGCGGGCUGGCAAGGC